CUUCUCAAUGGCUGCAACAAUGUGAUCAAAACUUAGAGUUAAACACCUUAACACUUUUGCAAUAGUGGUUUGAUCAAAAAUCUCUUUCCUGUAAGAUUUCAUUUAAUUAACAACCGUUGCAACUCGUAAAAGAAAUUCUUGUACUGAUUCUCUAAUUUUCAUUUACAACAUCUCAAAAUCAAGAUGGAGAAAUUGAAGUUUUACCAUAAUUAUCUUCGAUGAGCCUUUGUAUGUUGUUUGCAAAGU
rnacentral:lncRNA from 1 species